rnacentral:lncRNA from 1 species
CCGCCAUGAUUGUGAGGCUUCCCCAGCCAUGUGGAAACAUAUUCGCAGAGCACCCACUAGGUGCCAGUAAAUGUAUGAGAAGUCCUGUGGAAUAAGACUGAAGUUGUCCUUGCCUUCAAGCAACUUGCAAUUGCCUAAGAACACAGUUUAAAACCACAAAACUAAGCCUUGGAAAUCACAUGCUGUCAUUUCUGCGAUCGGUCAUAACCAGUCCUGAUUCCAUGUUAGAGGAGACUACAUAAGGACACAGGUACCAGAAGAAACUUCUAAGUGCUGCUGUAUUUCACCAAGCUCCAGUUGAUAUCCAAAUUGGACAACUCCUGUGUGCCAGGACAAUUAAAAGGUAAAGUUGAAAAAUGAUUUGAACAACAAAGGCAAAUUAAAAGCCCUCCCUGGAGCAAAGAUUGAAUCAAGAGUAUGGCUGUUAUGCUUCUGUUAAAACCUCUGAAUCAGUUAAGAGAAACGUAUGUCUCAACAGGGCCUGAUUAUUCACCUGGGCAACAGAAUCCAAGAACAUAGGCCACAGAGGCACAGUAGCUGACCCACAGCCUCUAACGUGUAAACUUCCUAUGUAAGCUGUCUCAUUUUCUCCGAAGCCAUGUGCUUGUUUUGCAGUAUCAUGUGGAAGAAAUAUUUGAAGGAUUUAGACUAAUUUUAAAUCCUGCUUCUGCUGCUUGCCAGGAGCAUGUCAACAGGGCCACCAAGAUGACACUGAGGCCCCUACCCAGCAUCCCAAAGGCAGUAUCACAGCAAAAGCUUUAAAAAAUAAAUUUAUAUUUCCUUCAUCACAAAUGUUAUGAAUACCAAUUAUAGAAAAUGUAGAAAUCCAAUAAAUUAGAAAGAAGAGAGAAAAAAUUACCCAAAGCCUACCACUCAGAAUGAAAAAUUUGGAGUCUAGUGAAAAGAAGUGACUUGCUCAAAAUCACACAGCACAUGAAGAACAGAGCCUCUAUGAUGAAUUUCUUGACAGAACUCUCUUUUGGCCUGCUGCCAUUCACGUUAGAUGUGACUUGCUCCUCCUUGCCUCCUGCCAUGAUUGUGAGGCCUCCCAAGCCAUGUGGAACUAUGGGAGUUUACCUGCACAAAACUCUUUUUUUGCCUGCUACCAUCCACGUUAGAUAUGACUUGCUCCUCCUUGCCUUCCAUCAUGAUUGUGAGGCCUGCCCAGACAUGUGGAACUCUGAUAUAAGUCUUUUGAGGUACAGCCUGGCACAAAAAGGAUGAGAUUUGUGGGCAGAAUUUUGGAAGAAUAUCUCCCGAGAGAACAUUCAGGACAGAUUGCACUGCUUUGGAGAGCUGGUGAUGAAAUCCGGCCAUUGAAUUACACUGCACUAUAAACUUCAUUUGUUCUUGGGUGCAUAGUGAUUUGCUAUAAUAAUGAUCAUCCAUUUGCCAGACAGCUGAGAUUUUUUAAAAGCUUGAUUGCUUUUGGCAUGGCAUUAUUAGUCCUGGAAGAAGGCAGCACAUUUGUAGCAAUUCUCAGCUUGAGCAAACUAGAAUAUUCACCUCCCACAAAUGCUGGCCAUUUAAGAUCUGUGUGUUAGACUUUGGCAUUUUUUCUAGCAAUUCUACAACAGCAUACACACUUUUAUUUUUCAUUAACACCAUUGUGAAUAUGCCCAUCUCUAAAAUUUCAAGGGGGUUCACUUAAGCUACUGAGUUUUAUGGACAGAAGGGCCAAGAAAAGUCCCCAAAGAAGAGUGCAUGCUGUCAAUUGCCAAUUAUUUUUUUUUCUAAUGAAAGCCAAACAAUUCCAGACAAACCCUUUUCUAAGAAAUGAACUACAUAUCUGGAUCCAAAUAAAUACUCAUCUGAUAAGAAUCUAAAAGCUCUACUGAAUUACAGUGGAUGAGAACAUGAUGAUGGUGAUUCUUUGAAGAUUACUGAGGAAAUCAACUCUCAUGUCUGAUUCUGAUACUUUUAUAGUCCAUCCAUGUUGAAAAUGUCUAUGGAAUGAUUCUGUUGUACCUUGAGAAAUGAAAUUCAUAGGCAUGGAUUCUCUCACACAGCAACUUUAUACACAAAGAUGAGAAUAGAAGAAAGGUCAUUUCCAAAGAAAGUGACAUUUAUUCUGUAUUCACUGAAAAGCCAAAAGAAUUUUCUCAUUCACCCAUACCGACAGAGCCCUACAUCUCCCCGAGAAGAGGUGAAAGAGACUGCUCCUAUCUGCUUCUGCAUCAAACUUCAGGCUCAAGACCUGUCCAGAAAAAAAAAUGUCUUCUUUCAGGGAUGAACUGCUGUCCUCAUCAGACGCCUUAUUUUGUUUAGAAUUCAAGCUCACUUGACAGGUUAUUGUGAAGAUUAAAUGAAUUAAUACAUGUGAAGCAACUGUAACAACUCUUGACAUGCGGAUCCCAUUGAGGAUGCCACAUUAUGUUUCAUUGCCAUGUCUCCAUAGACUCUUCUUGGUUGUGAUGGUUUCUCACGCUUUUCUUGGUUUUGAAGACGUUGACAAUUUUCUUCCAUUGGGAUUUGCUUGAUGCUUUUCUCAUGAUUACACUGGAACUGUGACUUUUUAGAAGGAAGAUCAUAGAGGAGAAGAAACUGAGGUUCAAGGACUAGUAACCAGCAGCAGAUCACACAGCUGGAAGACAACUAAGAGCAAAAAAACAGGCACAAUUAAAGUGCUAAGAAAUCACUGCAGACAGAGAACCUGACACUGACAAGGAGAAUUACAUAUGCAUCAAUGAGGAGCUGGCAUUUUGGCUCAGUCUAGAAGUCAUAGGAAUUUUCCUGGAGAAAGUUUUUUCAAAGUGAAUAGCAUAUGCAAAAAUGGCACUUUGCUGAGAAGAAUUCUGAGGUCCUGUUUGAUGUCAACAGAAAGAAAUGCUAUAAUCAAUGUGUAAUGACAGCCAUACUAGUGACAAUAAGACCAGUCACAACAGAUGGAGGACUCAAUGCUUAUGUUGGAGAAGGAAGCUACAUUGUCCCUGAGUUCAUGGAAAUGUCAAGUCUAGAAGAUGGAAAAGUUCAGUUAAUAUCUCCAGAGACCCACAGCCUCCAGGCUGUGGGACUCCCUCAGACAGUGGCCAUGGAUGGCUGACAGGACGCAUUCUUCCCAGUCUGGCCCUGUGAAGAGUCAGAAUAAAAGGCCAUGGAACCACAAACCUGUAGGUGAAUGCACAUCCAUUAGCAUUCCUGUAAGUACGUGUAUUUGGUGGCUUUGCUGGAGUAACAAACUACCUCAAGAUCUCAGUGUUAUAUGAAACAAAGGUAUGUUUCUUGUUCAUAUUGCGUGUAGGCUUCAGGCCACCCGAGGGUCUGCUCCCAUUGUGCUCUGCUCUAUCAGUCUUCUCAGCUAGACUGCCAGGCUAAACAAGCAACCUCUAUUUGGAAAGCACCAUUCUCACAGCAGGAAGCAGAAGCAAGAUUACCAUGUCAUCCUAUUUAAAGCUUCUGCUCCAACAAUGGCUUAUAUCAUAUUCACUUAAAUUACACUAGACAAAUUUAAGAACAGGACAGGAAAGUUCAUGCCAUCUACACAGCUGUACUGCCAAUUACAAGGCAAAAGCAAGGAUCUAUAAGUGCUUACAAAUAUGAGUGUCAAUGAUUUUGAACAAUAAUAUUACCUGACAAAAUAGACAUGUCCUGUCUUUACCUAGCUGCUUUCUAAUACACUGCUGUGGCUUAAGGGUAGUACCCAGGCUUUCAUUGCAAUUUUAGAGUCACUAAUGUAAGAAUUUAUCUUCAAGUUGUAGAAUCAAAGAGGGAAAAUUUCUCCUUUACCCUCUGAAGACUUAGUGAAAAUGAAUUUACGAUAGUCAGAUUAAUAGGAGAAAAAGGCAUACAAAAUUGAUCUAACAGGCAAGGAAGAAAUAUCACAGGAGAGUGAGUGCUCAAUUUUUUUUAAAGAAAGAGAAACCCAAAUUCCAGUUUUGUUUCAAUGUACUUUUGAUAUUAAGGCUCAAUAUUAGAACCCUUUAAUACAUUUAUUUAGCUUGAGUUCGUUUAACCAUAUAAGAUUUUCUUUUACUGUCUUUUAUUUUU